AUUGAACGCUGGCGGCAGGCCUAACACAUGCAAGUCGAACGGUAACAGGAAACAGCUUGCUGUUUCGCUGACGAGUGGCGGACGGGUGAGUCAUGUCUGGGAAACUGCCUGAUGGAGGGGGAUAACUACUGGAAACGGUAGCUAAUACCGCAUAACGUCGCAAGACCAAAGAGGGGGAGCUUCGGGCCUCUUGCCAUCGGAUGUGCCCAGAUGGGAUUAGCUAGUAGGUGGGGUAACGGCUCACCUAGGCGACGAUCCCUAGCUGGUCUGAGAGGAUGACCAGCCACACUGGAACUGAGACACGGUCCAGACUCCUACGGGAGGCAGCAGUGGGGAAUAUUGCACAAUGGGCGAAAGCCUGAUGCAGCCAUGCCGCGUGUAUGAAGAAGGCCUUCGGGUUGUAAAGUACUUUCAGCGGGGAGGAAGGGAGUAAAGUUAAUACCUUUACUCAUUGACGUUACCCGCAGAAGAAGCACCGGCUAACUCCGUG
rnacentral:rRNA from 1 species